rnacentral:rRNA from 1 species
UAGGGAAUCUUCGGCAAUGGACGAAAGUCUGACCGAGCAACGCCGCGUGAGUGAAGAAGGUUUUCGGAUCGUAAAACUCUGUUGUUAGAGAAGAACAAGGACGUUAGUAACUGAACGUCCCCUGACGGUAUCUAACCAGAAAGCCACGGCUAACUACGUGCCAGCAGCCGCGGUAAUACGUAGGUGGCAAGCGUUGUCCGGAUUUAUUGGGCGUAAAGCGAGCGCAGGCGGUUUCUUAAGUCUGAUGUGAAAGCCCCCGGCUCAACCGGGGAGGGUCAUUGGAAACUGGGAGAGUGGAGUGCAGAAGAGGAGAGUGGAAGUCCAUGUGUAGCGGUGAAAUGCGUAGAUAUAUGGAGGAACACCAGUGGCGAAGGCGGCUCUCUGGUCUGUAACUGACGCUGAGGCUCGAAAGCGUGGGGAGCAAACAGG